rnacentral:misc_RNA from 1 species
AUUGAUGAAAUUUUGUUCAUAGAAACGGUUCACUUUUAUUGGUUUCAUGACAUCAGUGUAAUGGCGUGUUGGUCCGUGAAAGCUCAUUUGCUGGGGGAUGACGGGAAGACAUCAGAAAUCAGGCGGGUCUCGGUCCCAGUCAGCGCCACCUAUAACCAGCUGUAUGAUAAGACAAAGGCCGUGUUCCCCGAUCUCCACAACGAAGAAAUCAGUCUAUCUUGGAAAGAUGGAGACGGCGACUUGGUUUCAUUUUCCUCGGAUGCAGAAAUGUUGGAGUUUACUAGGACUGCAGAGGACGAAUUUCUGAGAAUUUUUAUCAAAGUUCGCGCACCGAAAUCAAACAAAUCAACCCCAAAGACCCCGACCGGAGCGGAGUGGGUGGUCAAUCCUUGGAUAGAGAAGAUGUCGGAUUUGGACUCUGAAGAAUUCUCACAGAGUGUCCUCGCUGGAAUGAGAACUGUCUUUCAGUACAUAGCUGGUGCAGAAACGUUUCAUGACAAGGACAGAAAAAUUGUGGACAAAAGUGACGUCACGAAUAAAGAAGAAAGAGAACCGUCUGUUUGUAACAAUGCAGACCAUUUACAUCGUGAUGUCACGGAAGUCAGAGGAACUCGUGACACCGAAAAUCAGGAAGCUGAUGACGUAGAGAAGGGUGACAUAGAAACAGAUGACGUAGAGAGGGAUGAAAUAGAAACAGAUGACGUAGUGAAGGAUGACAUAGAAAAAGAUGACGUAGUAAACGAUGGCAUAAAAACAGAUGACGUAGAGACAGGCCACGACUCAAGCGAAGCGCCCCAUCCACAGGAGGAUGUUUCUGAAUCUCCGAGUAUAACUGUUUUACCAUGCAAAUUUGUAUAAAAGCAAAGGCAAAUGAUGGUACAAUAAAGCAUUUGGUAAACAUUAAUUCAUGUUUUCAGAUAAGAUUGAGGAAGCACUGGAGAAGUUGCUAGCAAUGGGGUUCCACAACGAAGAAGGUUGGCUCUAUCGUCUCAUUGAGGAGAAAGAGGGUCGUAUUGACGAAGUCCUGGAGAGCAUUCUUCCUGAUGAGAAUCGGGCUGGGAGAAGAAACAGAAACAGAAUGAUAUGUUUUUUCUGUUUCCGCCUUAUUUCUGCCGAAGUCUGCUAUCAAUGUACUACUUGUAAUCAAAUUAUCUGUCAGAACUGUAAGGGAACAUAUGGAUGGCUGUCCAUAGUGCACGAAUUGAUGUUGAAACCCACUUCUGCAAUUGCCCAAAAGCUUCCCAGGUGGUUUGAUGACAGAAACACUGAAGAAGAUUGGACAAAACCUUCAUAUAUGUGGACAAACCUUCAAAAGCUCUUUUGCGGAAUCUAUGGUGCACAAAGCAGCAGUUACCAAAAACACGAGGCUUCCAAACCAAAGUCACGUGACCCUGUCAACAGAGCAAGCCCUUAUCCAUCAUGCAAAAACAAUCGGACCAAGUCGCAUCCAGAAACUGGUGGGAAACCGGACAUUGAAACAGACGGUCCUGUUACCAGGGAUGAUUCUCCGAAAAAUGGUGAAUCCUGGACAUUGGUUGAGGACGACACCUCAUUGGCCGAGACAAAAGCUGACCAAAAUCUCGAAGAGGGUGGCAGUACCCAGGGAGGUGGGGCAGAGAGAAAAUCACAUAAUGCUCGUCCAACGAUACCACCGAUUGAUCCAAAAAUUGCCAGUGCUCUGGCGGAAAUGAUGUCAAUGGGUUUCCAAAAUGACGACGGAUGGUUACUAUGCCUUCUGCAAGAAAAUAAUGGCAACAUCGAGAAAGUCUUGGACAUCAUACAAGGCAGUGAUGGGAAAAUCUACUCAAAAUAAACAGUUUCAGUUGUUUUCUUCAAGUUGGGCGUACCAAUUAGUUUUAACCAACCAUAUAAAACAUGUACAUAAUCAUAUGCAUGUACUUUGAAUAGAACGUUCAGUGCUGUCACAGAGGAUUUAUUUUAUUAUAGCCACAAAAAUGCUAGUUUGUCAAUAUUAUUUUUAAAAUCAAAUUAUGCAUUGUAAGUAAAAUGUGCAUUGCCUAUAUUCUCUUAGUAGUUCUGGAGAUGGUGAUAUACCUUUAUAGUAAUUGUACAGGACUUCACUCACGGUGGUAUACCUUUAUAGUAUAUGUACAGGACUUCACUCUCAGAAAGCAGGGUGACAAGACGUUUGCCAAGGGCCUGCGUCUUGUACAUUUGAUCCAAAUAUGAAUAUUUAAAUAUGUUUAUACAUGUACCCCCUUUUUCAUGACAAUUGCCACGACAUAUAUAGUUUGCUUAAUUUAAUUUUGUUUAUGUUUUAAUUAUCUUGACAUUUUUAUACGUAACCGAAAUUCCAUUAAAAUUUGUUUUUAAU